UACGGGGGGGAGCAAGCGUUGUUCGGAUUUACUGGGCGUAAAGGGCGCGUAGGCGGUCGUGACAAGUCACUUGUGAAAUCUCCGGGCUUAACUCGGAACGGUCAAGUGAUACUGUCGGACUAGAGUACAGAAGGGGCAACUGGAAUUCUCGGUGUAGCGGUGAAAUGCGUAGAUAUCAGGAAGAACAUCGGUGGCGAAGGCGCUCUGCUGGACCAUAACUGACACUCAGGGACGAAAAGCUAGGGGAGCGAAUGGG
rnacentral:rRNA from 1 species